rnacentral:rRNA from 1 species
GGGCCUGCGGCGUAUCAGGUCGUAGGGGGUGUAAAGUACCCUCUAGCCUUCAACGCGUACGGGUUGUGGGAGCAAUCGCCCGGAGAUGGAUUCUGAGACACGAAUCCAGACCCUACGGGGUGCAGCAGGCGCGAAAACUUCACACUGCAGGAAACUGUGAUGAGGGAAUUCCAAGUGGUAUGACAAAGUCAUAUCUUUUACCAACUUUUAAUCGGUUGGUGAAUAAGGGGUGGGAAAGACCGGUGCCAGCCGCCGCGGUAAUACCGGCACCCCAAGUGGUCGUCGCUUUUAUUGGGCCUAAAACGUCCGUCGCCUGUUUGGUACAUUCGUGGGUAAAUCAACCAGCUUAACUGGUUGAAUUCUGCGAGGACGGCCAGACUAGGGACCGGGAGAGGUAUGGGGUACUCUCAGGGUAGGGGUAAAAUCCAGUCAUCCUGAGGGGACCACCUGUUGCGAAGGCGCCAUACUAGAACGGAUCCGACGGUCAGGGACGAAGCCUAGGGGCACGAACCGGAUUAGAUACCCGGGUAGUCCUAGGUGUAAACGCUGUGGACUUGGUGUUGGGGACUCCACGAGUGUCCCCAGUGCCGGAGUGAAGAUGUUAAGUCCACUGCCUGGGGAGUACGGUCGCAAGGCUGAAACUUAAAGGAAUUGGCGGGGGAGCACAGCAACGAGAGGAGCGUGCGGUUUAAUUGGAUCAACGCCGG